rnacentral:rRNA from 1 species
CCUACGGGAGGCAGCAGUGGGGAAUAUUGGGCAAUGGAGGAAACUCUGACCCAGCGACGCCGCGCGCGGGAUGAAGGCCUUCGGGUUGUAAACCGCUUUCAGCAGGGAAGAAGCGAAAGUGACGGUACCUGCAGAAGAAGCACCGGCUAACUAUGUGCCAGCAGCCGCGGUAAUACAUAGGGUGCAAGCGUUGUCCGGAAUUAUUGGGCGUAAAGAGCUCGUAGGUGGUUCGUCACGUCGGAUGUGAAAAUCUGGGGCUUAACCCCAGACCUGCAUUCGAUACGGGCGAGCUUGAGUAUGGUAGGGGAGUCUGGAAUUCCUGGUGUAGCGGUGGAAUGCGCAGAUAUCAGGAGGAACACCAAUGGCGAAGGCAGGACUCUGGGCCAUUACUGACACUGAGGAGCGAAAGCGUGGGGAGCGAACAGGAUUAGAUACCCUGGUAGUCCACGCCGUAAACGGUGGGCACUAGUUGUGGGGACCUUCCACGGUCUCUGCGACGCNGCUACGCAUAGUGCCCGCCGUCGGGAGGUACGAGUCGCGAAGAAUUAAACUACAAUAGAAGUUAGUACGGCGUGAGACGUCGCCGACGGACGACCGACGAGGGAGGAGG